GUGUUGCUUUGCUAAUUUCUAUAGAGGAGUUGGGCCUUUAAAAUGUAACGUUGAUUGUGGAUGACCUUGGGGAGGCACGGAUGGCGUUGGAUUAUAGCACGCAUUCCGUCCCCCCCCCCCUCAUGUUUAGUUCUGCUGGCCGUUGAGCAUAGAUGGCGCUGCAAUAACGGCUCAAAGGAACAGCCUUUCCAGAUGGGCCUCGUGGUUGGGGAAAGCAUAAAACUGAUGAUCUAAAAAGUUGAAAAUGUUGAAAACUAAUCCCUCACGGAAUAAAUAAUGCUAGCUCCCCUUAUUAAAUCGGCAUGCAAGUUUUGCGUUGAGUUUCCUCGGUAGGCCAGAGAGUAAAACUCAAAAAAGGAACUUGAUGUACUGAGACGGUGAGCUCCAGCCUCUCUUCGCGUUGAUCUUCGGAUGGAUCCGAAAUACAAAAUCUCAAGCCAAUGCUGUCUGUAAAGGGUUUCACAAAUGAUUCUAUGAUCAUGGAACAAGGAUUGAUUCUGUGUUUGCAAAUAUGGGAACACUACCCACUGAUGUGCUGGCCUUCGGGUUCUCUAAUAUGGAUCAACUUUAGAUGAUGAAACAUGUCUUAAUGGGAUUGAGCUGUCUCUGAAGAACCUCAAGAAAAGGC